GAUGAACGCUGGCGGCGUGCCUAAUACAUGCAAGUCGAGCGAACGGACGAGAAGCUUGCUUCUCUGAUGUUAGCGGCGGACGGGUGAGUAACACGUGGAUAACCUCCUUAUAAUACUGGGAUAACUUCGGGAAACCGGAUCUAAUACGGUAUAAUAUUUUGAACCGUGUGGUUCAAAGGUGAAAGACGGUCUUGCUGGCUCUUCUAGAGGGAUCCGCGCUGCAUUAGCUAGUUGGGAGGGUAACGGCUUACCAAGGGAACGAUGCAUAAACGAAGUGAUAGGGGGGUCGCCGGCCUGGGAACUGAGACGCCGUCCAGAGUCCUACGGGAGGCAGCAGUAGGGAAUGUUACGCAAUGGUGGAAAGCAUGACGGAGCGACGCCGAGUGAGUGAUGAAGGUCUUCGGAGCGUAAAAAUGGGUUAUGAGGUAAGAACCUAUGUGGAAGGAAAUGUGGCCAGCUUGACGGUACCUAAUAAGAAAGCAACGGCUAACUACGUG
rnacentral:rRNA from 1 species